CUUCUCUUUUCUUCUUUGGUUUAAAGUGUGAAGGAACGUUCAAGUUCUUGAACAGUUCAAUUAAAGGAAUAAGUUGCAGAAUUGAGGCAUAGGUACAUCAGCUCAUACACCUCACUCGUAGGAGCGAAGGCUAUUCCGUCUAUAUUGGUACCAACAUGGAAAGCGAACAAUGACGAAAGGAAGUUGCUGCCCAAGCUUGUGGAGGACCUCCACACCAUGACAAAGAAGAAUCUACUCAAGGACUUCAAGG